CCACAUGAUCAAGCUAGAGUGUUCGAUUUUAUCGAAUUCUCUAGUUUGUGAACAUUGCCUGGUGACGCAAUGUAUAAAGUAAAAAAUCGGCUUUGUUAGUAGAAUGAACUGGAAUGUUCAGCCAUAGAGCGUGAAAGCCGCGUAUACGAAAACCAAGCUGACUUUAUAUGUGGUUUCUUGAGUAGGACGGGGCACGAGAAAUCCUGUCUGAAUCUGGGAGGACCAUCCUCCAAGGCUAAAUACUCGUAAUCGACCGAUAGUGAACAAGUACCGCGAGGGAAAGGUGAAAAGAACCCCGGGAGGGGAGUGAAAUAGAACCUGAAACUGUGUGCCUACAAGGAGUCGGAGCGGACUUGUUCCGUGACGGCGUGCUUUUUGUAGAACGAUCCAACGAGUUAUUCUAUAGUGCAGCUUAAGGUGUAUACCGGAGGCACAGCGAAAGCGAGUCUGAAUAGGGCGCAUGUACUAUGGAAUAGACCCGAAACCCGGUGACCUAACCAUGACCAGGCUGAAGUAUCGGUAAAACGAUGCGGAGGGCCGAACCAAUGUAGUGACUGCUUGGAUGAGUUGUGGUUAGCGGUGAAAUGCCAUUCGAACCGGGAGAUAGCUGGUUCUCCUCGAAAUAGCUUUAGGGCUAGCGUCGCGCGGUAGCAAUUGGGGGUAGAGCUCUGAAAAGAACUGAGGCUGGCAACGGUACUCACUCUUACCAAACUACGAAUACCAAUUGUGGAAUCGCGGCAGUUAGAACACGGGGGCUAAGCUCCGUGCUCGAAAGGGAAACAGCCCAGACCAUCGUCUAAGGUCCCUAAAUCAAUACUAAGUGGGAAACGAACUGAGGCUUCUUAAACAGCGAGGAUGUUGGCUUAGAAGCAGCCAUUCAUUUAAAGAGUGCGUAACAGCUCACUCGUCGAGAAGCCUUGGGCGGAAGAUGUAACGGGGCUAAAGUAUUGUACCGAAGACAUGGAUUGCAGUUUUUACUGCAGUGGUAGAGGAGCGUUGAUAGUGCGCUGAAGGUGAACUGUGAGGUUUGCUGGAGAGCUAUCAAGUGAGAAUGUUGGAAUAAGUAACUUCAAGAAAGGUGAGAAUCCUUUCCGCCGAAAGAGUAAGGUUUCCUGGGCAAUGGUAAUCAUCCCAGGGUUAGUCGGGCCUAAGCCGAGGCAGUUUAGCGUAGGCGAUGGACAACGGGUUAAUAUUCCCGUACCGGUAUAAAAUUUUUGAUAAAUUGCGGAGUGGUAGUUUGAGCGGAUUCAUGGUUAUAUCCGUUUAACUAGUUAGAUUUCGAUCGAGCUAGGAGUACGAGUUGUAGGCUUUCGAGCCCGCGACGAGUCAACAAGUCCAUUCUGCCCAGAAAAGUUUAUUAGAUUAUGUUUUAUGCCGCCCGUACCGUAAACCAUUAAAGGUACUCAGGUCGAGUAGACCAAGGCGUACGAGAGAAUCUUGGUUAAGGAACUCGGCAAUAUAGCGACCGUAACUUCGGGAUAAGGUCUGCCUAGCGUAAAAACUAGGUUGCAACAAAAGAGUCCAGGCGACUGUUUAUUUAAAACACAGGUCUCUGCUAACACGAAAGUGGAUGUAUAGGGGCUGACGCCUGCCCAGUGCCGGAAGGUUAAGGGGAUAAGUUAACGCUUUGAACUGAAGCCCCGGUGAACGGCGGCCUUAACUAUUAGGGUCCUAAGGUAGCGAAAUUCCUUGUCGGGUAAGUUCCGACCCGCACGAAUGGCGUAACGAUCUGGACACUGUCUCAACCAAGAUCUCGGUGAAAGUGCAUUGGCGGUAAAGAUGCCGUCUGUCCGCACCAGGACGAAAAGACCCCGUGGAGCUUUACUACAAGUUUACAUUGAAUCGGGUUACAACAUGUGUAGAAUAGGUGGGAGCCUUCGAAGCAGAUGCGCCAGCAUUUGUGGAGGCAUCAGUGAAAUACCACCCUUGUUGUGAUCUUGUUCUUACCCUUACCGUUAUCCGGUAAGGGGACCGUGUAUGCUGGGUAGUUUAACUGGGGCGGUUGCCUCCCAAAGAGUAGCGGAGGCGUUCAAAGGUUGGCUAGCUUCGGAUGGAAAUCGAAGUGAUAGUGCAAACGCAUAAGCCAGCUUGACUGUGAGGAUUACAAUCCAAGCAGGUGCGAAAGCAGGAGUUAGUGAUCCGCUGUCCUCACCUUAUGGUGAAAGAGAGUGGUAUCGGCAGCGCAAACGGAUAAAAGUUACCCCGGGGAUAACAGGCUUAUAGCGCCCAAUAGUUCACAUAGACGGCGCUGUUUGGCAC
rnacentral:rRNA from 1 species